rnacentral:rRNA from 1 species
AUUGAACGCUGGCGGCAGGCCUAACACAUGCAAGUCGAGCGGAUGAAGAGAGCUUGCUCUCUGAUUCAGCGGCGGACGGGUGAGUAAUGCCUAGGAAUCUGCCUGGUAGUGGGGGACAACGUUUCGAAAGGAACGCUAAUACCGCAUACGUCCUACGGGAGAAAGUGGGGGAUCUUCGGACCUCACGCUAUCAGAUGAGCCUAGGUACGAUUAGCUAGUUGGUGAGGUAAAGGCUCACCAAGGCGACGAUCGUUAACUGGUCUGAGAGGAUGAUCAGUCACACUGGAACUGAGACACGGUCCAGACUCCUACGGGAGUCAGCAGUGGGGAAUAUUGGACAAUGGGCGAAAGCCUGAUCCAGCCAUGCCGCGUGUGUGAAGAAGGUCUUCGGAUUGUAGAGCACUUUAAGUUGGGAGGAAGGGCAGUAAGUUAAUACCUUGCUGUUUUGACGUUACCGACAGAAUAAGCACCGGCUAACUUCGUGCCAGCAGCCGCGGUAAUAC